rnacentral:lncRNA from 10 species
GUGUCGUUUCCACCGCGGCACCCUUUUCCGACAUUAGAAACAAUAGUACUUCCUAGCAUGGGCUGUUGUGCUGGAGAGAACGAGAGCUACGAAGAGACUACAGUGCCUCUGACUUUUUCAUAGGACAGUUGGCCGAGGAAGACAAACAUAAAGAUGAAGUGCUUAAUUCAAGGUCACACAAUGUCGGGGAUGGACCUCCAGAUUUCCUUACUGACCUGCAUUAUCUUGUGGAUACCUGAGUGAAUUCCACACCACCCAUUUUAUAGAUGAAACCACUGAGACAUGGAGCAAUUGACUGAGUAGUCACUGCCCCACCCCUGCCUGGAGCCUCACACAUGACUCGCCUCCUCUCAGUGACCACAGGAAAACAAGCUCAGGGCUCCCACUGAUUGUACAUUAUGGUGAGACGUGGUCUUGUAACACAGUGGUUAAGAAUGUGACUUUGGAGCCAGCCUGCUAGGGGCUGAAUUCUGACUCAGCCAUUUACUAACUGUGUGACCUUAGGCUGGAGUGCAAUGGCAUGAUCUCGGCUCAUCACAACCUCUGCUUCCUGGGUUCAAGCGAUUCUCCUGCCUCAGCCUCCCGAGUACCUGGGACUACAGGCACUCGCCACCAUGCCCGGCUGAUUUUUGUAUUUUUAAUAGAGAUGGUUUCACUAUGUUGGCCAGGCUGGUCUCGAACUCCUGACCUUGUGAUCUGCCCACCUCAGCCUCGAAAAGUGCUGGGAUUACAGGCGUGAGCCACUGCGCCCAGCCUUGUAUUUUUUUUCAGUUUGGGUAGCUGUCCCUAAUUCAUUUGUUAAAGGAGAAGCAAGAGCAAGAACCUUUAAUCUGUUCUCCUCUUCCCUAAUUUGAAAGUAGCUUGUUAUUUUGAAUAUCACUUUCUCUGAAAUAGCACAUCUCCAUCUCAGAGAAUGGAUUUAAUGUUUGGAUACAGCCAAAAGUCAUUUCAUUACCAAACCAUGGGGUGAAUAUACCAUGUAAAGCAGUUUGGGAUCAGAACUCACAGUCUGAAUUGUAAGUGAUGAGACUGCUGUCUCUCUGCUACAGCUUCUUGGCUGGCUCUGAAGGCUCUUUGAAGGCAGAUCCUAACAAGGGGACUGCUUUGAAGGGCCAUUGUUCAUUUGGAAUGAUAAAGUCUAUGUUGUUCAAAAAACAAAUGCUUGUAGCAGGUAUUUUUUCACUCCAGACUGAGAAUAUUGGUGGGAUAUUGAUAAGGGGUACUGAAUGGUAAUAAACAUGUGCUCUAGCUCUGUGCUAGUCAGCUUAUUUCAGAACUCUAGUUUGAUUCAGUUUCUUGCCUCUGACUCAAAAUGGAGGGAGAGUGAUUUUUACAUAAGAGAACACACCCACAUAUCCUUUUGGCAGCAGCUACCUGCCAGAGAUGUUGAAGAAGAGUAGCCAACCUUUACACAGCAGAUAUUGUGUGCCAGUCAUAGUCCUAAGUAUAAUACCUUACAUGUAUAAACUUCUUAUAAGGUUGGUGCUCUGUACCGAAUUGAAUAGUAUCCCCCAAAAUUCAUGUUGUCCCAGAACCUAUGAAAGUGAUCUUACUUGAGGGAGGGGGGAGGGGGGAGGGAUAGCAUUAGGAGAUAUACCUAAUGCUAAAUGACGAGUUAAUGGGUGUAGCACACCAGCAUGGCACAUG